CUGAUUGCCAACGGUCGUGUUUCAAAAUUUAAAGCGACAGACGGUAACCCAAUAUAAAGUGAAUCAUAAUCUUGACAACAGUUUUUAUAUGGAACCGGUAAAGCGAAAUUGUAAAUGAAGUAAAUGGAUAUUGUCAACAACACCUUUUUCGGGGAAUGCAAAUUAAAGGGCGUAAUUUAAGAAGAACACAACCGCCAAGUGGAUAAAAACAGCGACAUAUAAAAAACUAAUUUAAGAGAAAAUUAACCUAAUUUUCUGGUAUUAUAUUGUUGAUUUCAUAUCCAAACUAGAAGGCUUCAAAAAGAGAUUUAUUAGAUGUUUUCCGACAACAUUGAAGCCAGUAAAAAGGAUGGUAAUACAAAUGUCUCUAUAUCUAUAAGGGUCCAAUGUGUGCUAUAUCGUAUGGUUGGUUUACUCAUUUUAUUUUUGUGUGGCCAUGAUAUUUCCAAUUUCGAUAUUCUCCCCAAAUGCAAACAUGUUUCCAAGUCUGCAUACACGAGGUACAUCUUAAGACUAGUUAAGCUACUAGUAUGAAAUACAGGUUGGAGGAUGCCGUGAAAGUCAUUGACAUUCAUAUCAGCAUGAUGGUGCCUGUUUUCAGUAUGGAUCAACAUUUAUUCCUCCUCACACAACUGCAUUUGCCAGUAGCUUGGUAUGGUUCAUUAUAUGCCCAACAUACAAAAAAAUUGUUACAGGUUCAACAAUACAUGUGUGCAGGAAUCGAGAAGUGUGCUUUUGGUCAACGGAUGUGAACUUGACUGUCUAAUGGGUCACAAGGGCAAAAUUUUUCGAGAAGAGUUCCCAAUUUUGACUACCAAGGAUGAGUGGAACAAAUGUGACAUAUGAUGGCGAACACUGAGAGUAUAUGUAGAAAAUAAUUAAUGAAAUAAAGUUAAAAUAAAAAUAAAACUCUG